AGGAUUAAACCCAGGACUCAUGCAUGCCAGGCAAACAUACUACCACUGAUCCAUAUCCCCAGCCCUAGAAAUGCUAAUUUAAUGGAGAUCUGAAGGAUGAGCAUGCAUUAAGCAAAUGGAGAGAAGGAAACAUUUCAGACAGAAGGGACAACAUAUGCCAAGGCUUUGUGAUGGGAAACUCCACAGUGUAUUCAAGGAAUUAAAAGAAAGUCCAUACAUUGGAAUGAAGAGAGGAAGAAACAAAUCAUUAAGGGACAAGGCUGGGAAGGGAAACAGUCUCAUAUCUUCUGAGAGAAACAGAUCAUCAUGUCACGAACCCCUCUAACUCUCCAAUAAAAACAACACGAAAUCAACCAAGAUAGAGAAUGUGUCCUUAAUGCCCCACUUGGGACCUCUCUCCAGAGGAGCAUUGAUAGAGGCAAGCCUAUUUCAGGUGUAGAUGGACACAACACAAUGCCUUUUUAUGUGGUGC